UCUGCCGUGAUCGCGUCAUGUGCGAUCUUUAGUGUACUCCUAACACGGCGAGUAUACGUGUUCCAGGCAGAGUCCAAGCCUAAUUGCAUGGAGUAUUCGAGCAGUUUAACCCACAAGUACUCUUUGUUUUAAAUAACACCACAAACAGCACAAGACAACUUGAUAAAAUAUGCGUGCCUUGUUCCUUACCACAAUUUACCCAUUGUUAAGGUUUGUUUGUGGUUUGGUGUCUAGGCACAACGUCCUUCUGUUCUCUAAAAUGGCUUGGAGAGCCUCAUUUGACAACUUCACGUCCCUUUGAGCAUGUGAUGCCUUGGCCUUGCCACUGAGAACAGUUUCUGUUCCUGGUGCUUAAUAAUGGCUUAUAUAGAAAGAAACAUAAGCCAUAUCUAAACUCAACAGGAACUCUCUCUGAGUGGAGGAAUAUAAAUUUUAAUAAAUGCCUGUGGUUAUCUCCAUAUUAAAGUGGAAAAAAAAGUCUAGGAAAGCAGCUAGCUUUAGUGUGGAACUUCAGUUGAAUAGUUAAAAAGUUCACCUGCAAAUUAUUAACUUAGACAUUUUCUCCAAAUUAUGAACCAUUUUCUCCUCUAGCUGUUCCUCAUCUCUAGGCAUUCUGUAAAUUUAAUGUUGUAGAGGAUACAUUUGUGUUUGCUAUUUGUCCAUAUUUUUCUGUGGUUUACGUUGUCAUGUGUGUGAUAUAUUCCAAUCCUGCAUCUCCUUGCAGGCUUCUCAGCAAACUGUUUCUGAAAACAACAUCUUAUUUGAACAAGCAAGUAGCAAAUAAAGAAAAUUAAAUUAACAAGACCUGUAAUUUAAACUCCUGCUUAAAAGAAUUGUUAAUUGUAUUAGAAACUCAAACAUUUUCUUAGUGUUGUUAAUAGUUAAAGUUAUAUAAUUGCUAGUGCGGAUGAACCAAAUUGAAUCUUUUUCCCAGUUCUGCUUCUCAUUUACAAAAUUUCUCUCCUUUGUUUUCUUGGUUGUGUAGCAUGCCGGACUCAGAAUACUCUUGCAGAAAGAGCACUGCUUUAAGAAAGAUAACCCUUCAAAAGCCCUCAUUUUUGAGGGAUGUCACUCAUUUUAAUCCCAAAUAUGCUCACACUCCUCACAAACGUAAGGUUUUAAUUUUUAUUGAUGAUAACUAUUCAAAUGAGAAGUAAAUAUUCAAGAAAGGUUAUUAAAACAAAAGCAACUCUCAGUGUUUUCAGCUCUUAUGAUUUUAUCAAAAGGCUGAUGAGAGCUGGUGUUUUUCAGAAAGCCCAAGCUUUUGUAUGAGAAUAAACAUUUUCUUUUGAAGUAAAAGUAAGAUUCAAGGGAAUAAAUUAAAAAUAAGCUGAAAUGGGCCUUGAGUACAUUUGAUAGGAUCAGAAGGAAAAUAAAAGAACCCAAAUAUGUAUUUUUUAGUAGUCCCUUUCAGUUCCUGAUAUCAAAACUUUUGUCAGUUUCUUUCGCUUUUCUGUUCCUCUCUGCCUUACUUACCCGCGGUUACUGCAAAACCCAGUGUAACAGUCCCAGUUGGAAGCAGGCUAUUUUUCCAGCCUCUAGGCAGGAACAGAUUGAGAUAUGGGUCCUGUCGUAACUCAGGCAACCAAGUUAAGAAGAUGACAGGAAAGAAAUACUAUCACCCUAGUUUAUAAAUAGGAAACUGAAGAGAGUAGUGAUUGCCUUGCCCAAGAAAACUGAAAUUUCAAACAAAACCAUGAAGCAAAAUUAGUCUGCUGUUUUAACUGCAAAACUAACUGGGUGUCUUGUUUUUUUUUCCUGUCUGCUGCAGUAACUGCUUUUGCACCAUUGCCUUGCCAGUAUUAGAAGAACACAGUGAACGCCUGAGACAAAAAAUCAUCUCUCAACCUUCCUCUUCAGCUACCAUCCCGUUGUCUUUGUCUCUAGAUCUGUUAUCUUCUCUUUCUUCCUCUAUACAUUCACUGGAUAAACUUAUCUGCUUCUAGUGUUUCAUCUUCCUUCUCUGCAAUUCUGCUUUGUGAUCAAUCUUUCCCUUAGUAUCUUGAUUUCAUCUGUCUUUUCACCAGAUUACCCUCCACUUCUCUAAGCAUUUUCUACAUUUCAUUAAGAAAGCUCCAAACUUUCUGAAAAACUUUUUUUUUGGCCUGGACAAAUUACACAUUCAGAAUCAGAUCUAAGCUACUGUGUCUCAUUGAUGCAAGUACUCAGAUUUUUCUUGCAGUUCUGGGGGCAUAUAUUUGCAGAGUUCAGAGUGAAAAGGCCUCUCACAACUGCACAGCCAUACUAGAAGAGAAACUGCUGGAAAACAUUGUCUUAAAUUUUCAUUAUCCUCAACCACACAAUGGGGUCUGACCAACAUGGACAACAAAGGUAGAAGACAAAAUGAAUAUUCAGCUCACUAACUAAAAUGUGGAGAGGCCUCUCAGUAAAGCAAACACUAGAGACAGCACCCAUAAGGAAUUGAAUAGUGGCUGAAAAUGUGAACAUUCCUGCAUUUUUUCCUAAGGAAUGUAGUGUGCCUCUACUGAUGACUGCAGUAAAUGUGCAGCAUUUCUCACUGCAGAGAGCUCUUCCUGAUUAGCACAGCUCGCUCUACA